AGCAGCCGCGGUAAUUCCAGCUCCAAUAGCGUAUAUUAAAGUUGUUGCAGUUAAAAAAGCUCGUAGUUGAAUUUCGGGGUUAGUACGCUGGUCAUGCCUUCGGUAUGUACUGGUGUUACCGAUUCCUACCUUCUGAAGAACCGUCAUGUCAUUAAUUUGGUGUGGCGGGGAAUCAGGACUGUUACUUUGAAAAAAUUAGAGUGUUUAAAGCAGGCUCGCGCUUGAAUACAUUAGCAUGGAAUAAUGAAAUAGGACGUUCGAUCCUAUUUUGUUGGUUUCUAGGAUUGACGUAAUGAUUAAUAGGGAUAGUUGGGGGCAUUAGUAUUCAAUUGUCAGAGGUGAAAUUCUUGGAUUUAUUGGAGACUAACUACUGCGAAAGCAUUUGCCAAGGAUGUUUUCAUUAAUCAAGAACGAAAGUUAGGGGAUCGAAGACGAUCAGAUACCGUCGUA
rnacentral:rRNA from 1 species